rnacentral:tRNA from 1 species
GUUCAGUUAGCCUAGUGGUUAAUGUCAUGGAUCGCCAAUCCAGAGACGACGGGUUCGAUUCCCGUUCCGAUCG